rnacentral:rRNA from 1 species
GAUGAACGCUGGCGGCGUGCCUAACACAUGCAAGUCGAGCGAACAGAUGAGGAGCUUGCUCCUCUGACGUUAGCGGCGGACGGGUGAGUAACACGUGGAUAACCUACUUAUAAGACUGGGAUAACUUCGGGAAACCGGAGCUAACACCGGAUAAUAUAUUGAACCGCAUGGUUGAAUAGUGAAAGUCGGUUUUGCUGUCACUUAUAGAUGGAUCCGCGCCGCAUUAGCUAGUUGGUAAGGUAACGGCUUACGAAGGCGACGAUGCGUAGCCGAACUGAGAGGGUGGUCGGCCACCCGGGAACUGGGACACGGUCCAGACUCCUGCGGGAGGCAGCAGUAGGGAAUCUUCCGCAAUAGGCGAAAGCCUGACAGAGCAACGCCGCGUGAGUGAUGAAGGUCUUCGGAGCGUAAAACUCUGUUAUGAGGGAAGAACAAAUGUGUAAGUAGCUGUGCACGUAUUGACGGUACCUGAUCAGAAAGCCACGGCUAACUACGUG